rnacentral:tRNA from 1 species
GAAUGGGGCCAGCCGGCAUCGAAAACUGCUAAUUAUCGCCCCCUCGGUUGAACUCCGGGGCCCUUUCG